GACGAACGCUGGCGGCGUGCUUAACACAUGCAAGUCGAACGGAAAGGCCCUGCUUUUGUGGGGUGCUCGAGUGGCGAACGGGUGAGUAACACGUGAGUAACCUGCCCUUGACUUUGGGAUAACUUCAGGAAACUGGGGCUAAUACCGGAUAGGAGCUCCUGCUGCAUGGUGGGGGUUGGAAAGUUUCGGCGGUUGGGGAUGGACUCGCGGCUUAUCAGCUUGUUGGUGGGGUAGUGGCUUACCAAGGCUUUGACGGGUAGCCGGCCUGAGAGGGUGACCGGCCACAUUGGGACUGAGAUACGGCCCAGACUCCUACGGGAGGCAGCAGUGGGGAAUAUUACACAAUGGGCGGAAGCCCGAUGCAGCAACGCCGCGUGCGGGAUGACGGCCUUCGGGUUGUAAACCGCUUUCGCCUGUGACGAAGCGUGAGUGACGGUAAUGGGUAAAGAAGCACCGGCUAACUACGUG
rnacentral:rRNA from 1 species